GUGAUUGCUUCGGCAGCACAUAUAUUAAAAUUGGAAUGAUACAGAGAUUAGCAUGGCCCCUUGUGCAAGGAUAACAUGCAAAUUUGUGAAGCACUCCAUAUUUUU